ACAAGAGCAGGGGAGCUGCUUCUCUGUGUGUCUGCUGAGGAUCUGAUGUGUUCAAUGCUGAGAAUAAACACAUGUAAAGCAGCAGAAUGGACAAUGUUGCCAGUUUGUCUGAAGAUGGUCUGCUAUCAUCCCUGAGCCCAUGAGUUCAGCGUCACAUGCAAAUAAUUCUAAAGAAACUUGUGAAGCGGCCCCAGUUCAGCGAGCUCCAUAACCAGCAUAAGGUUUUCCGCUUCACAGAUCCCAAUCAUGCGGACUAUGUAUGGAUUAUCCAGCUGCUGCAUGACGUUCGCCUCCCGCAACAUCUCGUCCUUUACUGCUGCAUUAUCGUCAUCAUUCUUUAGGAUCUUAACAGCAACAACCUUCUGUGUUCUGAAGUAAACAAACCACAUACACUCUUAAAAUGUGUCUGAAAGAAACACUCAGUUAAUUUUUGAAAAUAAAAACAUUUAGAACCCAUUAAGCCAAUUUUUUUAGUCAGGCAGUGGCACUUUGAACUUAGCUUAGCAUAGAUUAGACCAUUAGCAUCUCACUCAAAAAAUCCAAAAAAGAAAAUUAAAGCUUGACUCUUCUCUGGUUACAUUGUGUAGACCAACCGAAAAUGAAACGUUGCUAUUUUAUAGGCUGAUAUGUCCAGGAACUAUAAUCUUGUUCUGGCGUAAUAAUCAAGUAACUUUACUGCUGUACCAUGGCUGCAGCGGGCACAAUGUAAUUACCUACUGCUUUUGCUAUAGAUUUUGCUGUUUGUUUAAACAAUUUUUAAAAAAUGAGCUGAAACAACACAAUUAUUGAGAGUUUUUUUGACACAUUUUAUGUUCAAUCCACUUAAAUUUAUAAAAACUCAGUUAAAUUGAUUGUGUGGAACCCAGCAUUUUCAACAGUGUGUAGUUACCCAGCAAGGGGCUUUCAUUUUUGGUCAGUUUUACAGUACACGAUGUAACUACAGAGGAGUCAAGCUUUAAAUAGGAAAGUGUUUAAAACUCUUUUUAAAGAUUCUGAGAUGCUAAUUGUCAAAGAAAAAGUCCAUGAUCUAUGCUAAGCUAAGCUAAAAUUGCUCCCGCCAGAGUUCAGCUGAAGGGUUUCAAAAAUAUUUGUUUUGUAAAUGAUUUAUUACAUGUUUAAAACAUAUUGAAACAGACUGCAAUUUAUGCAAAUAUGUCGUUGCACUAUGCCUGAUCAUGGUAGAUCAUCCGCAUUUUAUGAGCAUCGGCUUAUUUGCCACAAUGCUAAUUUGUUCUGUGCUUUUUGCAUUUGUCAAUAUAUAAAUAAGAUGCUACUGU
rnacentral:lncRNA from 1 species